CCGUCCAGCCUUCAGCUAUUGCUCCACUUGCCACACCUUUUGGUAGGGAGCUUGAGGUGGACGUAGAUCAAAUUGACUCUUAAGUUAGGAGGGCUUCUUGGAGUAUUGACCUGCCCUCAAAGGCACAAGAGGACAUC